rnacentral:lncRNA from 1 species
AAUUAUGCCGUGCAAAGUAAAAAUGUAAGAAAAAUCUUUCAUAAAGAUCUGUCAGAAUUUCCGUAAGAAGUGAAUAGAACUUAUUUUAGUCAAGGUCCAUAGCUUCAAGUACAACUGUGCGGGAUCCCUUUCUAACCAUGUGAGAUAUAGGCGAAUGCGUCACAUCAAUAUAUGCUCCAGUGAUUAUGGCAGAAAAGUAACCUUCGGGCAGAUCUUACCUUAGUACAGUCCCAUUUGUGAAGCAUCCAAGAAUCAAUGUGCGUCAAGACUUCUCAGGUUUUUCAGCUAUCAGCGAGGAAAUAAGUCUUGACCGGUCUCUCUCCAGAUCAUCAGUAGCCGCUGUCCACUUGCUAUUUUAAAGUCUAACUCCGAAUGUGAACCCUUAAGAACCAGGUGUCUGACAGCAACAUGUAACAGAACUGCAAUAAUGCUGAAUAAACUGAUGGCGGAUACACCAUGACGGCAUGCCAAGUACAAGGACGAUUAGAAGAGUCUAAUAACUUACCAUAUCCAUUAUAUCAUGUCCAUUUCUAGAAUAGUCUACAUUAUGUUUUAACUUCGUAUUCUAAUAGGUGCACAUCUUCAUGCCCCGAACAGCAUUGCACAGAAGUAACGUAACAUCUGUCACCGAAGAAAAUCUCUGUUAGCGAGGGUCUUAAUAUGUCAUGUACUUGAGAUUACGCAACAUGGAGUAGCAAGAGUGCAAGGCAACACAAUCAGAACUACUGAACUGAAACAUAUUAAAUGGUACGACAGAUGCCAAUUAGGGGUUUCACCAUUUUCCAAAAGAAGUAACACACUUUACUGACAUGCUGGACAUCAGGCAUGAUAAAGACUAUAGGUUCUUUGCAGUUUGAUAAUAGUCUGUUCCAGUGCAACAUAAUUGUCAUUGAACUGCACUGGACUAAAAUAGAGAACAUGAGAAUAAAAUUACAUGUUGAACCUGCUAGUAUUUUCUUGACACAUCCAUAUCAUAGCGUACCAGCAUCACAUGUCUAUGUCCAAGCAACUUAGGCAUGCCUCCGGUCCUGGUAACAAUACUUCUAUGAUAAGCACGUGCGCACCAUAAUUACUCCAUAGACGUACAACACAUCCAGUGAUCGUUCCACUAUGAAUAUCUUUUGGGAAAACGGAACUUUUCAAGUCAGAGGUAGGAAGCACAGAAACAAUAUCAAAGCAAAAUGAAAGAAUACUCACCAGAUGAUGUGAAGCAAGUAUAUGUCGUGAAACCAUGAUCUAUGUGGUAUCACCACAUAUUCAUCUUAUGCUUCUGCUAUAAGAAGCUUGAUUGAACCAAUACUUGACUUGAUGUCUUGUCCGCUAAGCUCCAAAUGCUGCGGUACUUCUGUAGCUUGGCAUCAAUUCUUUUCAGCCCACUUUCUCUUGGAGUGUAUGGGAAUAAACCAGCUAAGCUGGCCCCAAUCGUCAGAUUCA